UGCAAAUGAUGUGAAGAGAAACUGAUUAUUCAGUGCUGACACUUUUCCCCCACCAAGAUCACUGAUGCA